UGGAUCCUUAAUCCACUCAGCGAGGCCAGGGUUUGAACCCACAUUCUCAUGGAUCCUAUUCGGGGUCAUUAACCACUGAGCCACGAAGGGAACUCUUCCUUUCCUACUUAAAAAUCAAGAAAUUGUAGAAGUGAAAAUCUCAUCAAAGUUCAUGUCAUGUUUUAACCCCAGUACAGUUCUAAUGCAGCAAGCAUCUCAUCUGGUUGUGUAAAGAUGGCAUACUGGGUGGGUGGUGGGGUUCAACUGUAUAACUGAGCCUCAAAGAGUUAUAAAUUAGUCCCCUUAUUUGAGAUAAUUUUUCAGAGUUAAAAUAGUCUAUUAUGAUCGCUUUUUCUUUCGGCAAGUAUUUAGUAGGUAUCUUUCCACAUCCCUCUGCUUGCUUCUGGGGGUACUAAGAUGGUUAGAGGUGUUGUGAAAAGUUCAAAAAGUCUAACUAGGGGAAAAGAGGCAAACAGGUGAAUUCUGCACAGGAUGGAAUGUUCAUAGGAGCCUGGGAGUGGGCAGCAGUGUGUGCAGGUACAGGGUGUUCCCUCCUUUCUUGGGAAGCAGGCCAGGUCUUGCAUCUCUUUCUGGCCUUUUUUGCCACUUGCUGUCUUUCAUUCCCCUCACUGCACAUGCUCUUCCUUUCUUAGGACUUUUGAGGAAGCUCCCCUCUGCGUAUUGUAUCUCCAGACCUCACUGAUUACUCCCUACUUACACUGUUAUACCCUCUCACCACAUGCUCUGCUUCAUCUAGUCACUUCGCACAGCUGCCAUGAAGGAUUACUUGCUUACUGUGCCCCACCUCUGCUUGAGAAAAUGCUUUCAGCUGUAAGCAAUGGUGGCUCAAACAAAUGGGGGUGGGUUUGUUUUUCUCAUAUAUAAAGGGGCCUGGAGGUCAGCGGAUGUAUUCGGCUAGCUGCUCGACGUUGCAGUCUGGGUCUGUGGGAUUUCUUGUCCUCUCGUGGUUGUAAAAGACUCUUUCAGCUUCCAGCAUUAUAGCCACACCCACAGCUAGAGGAAGGGAUGGCUCUAGGUCUGUCUGGAAAGCAAACUUUCCCAGAAGGCUGCAGCACACUCUCCUGGCUGGGCUGUUGGUCACCUCUAGCUGUGAUGAGCUUUUCCAGACACUGGUGAGGAAGGUGAUUCCAGUGCACAAUCAGGGCUGAGAACCACUGAUGUCGUUUAACUCUCAUAGAUGAGAAAACUCAGAGCUGGCAGGUGAGUUGCUCAACGUCAUAUAGCAAGUUCAGAUGUAUUUCUUCACUUCUUAAGAAUGAAGCGAGGAAUGUUUGCUGGCUUCCAGGGAGCCUCCUACAGAGAGUUGUCUCCAAG